rnacentral:SRP_RNA from 1 species
GCCAGGUGUUGUGAUGGACACCUGUAGUCCCAGCUUCUUGGGAGGCUGAGACAGGGGGCCCAUUUGAACCUAGUAGUUCAAGGUUGCUGUGAGCUAUGACACCACAGUAUUCUAGCCUAGGUGAUAGAGUGAGACUCUGUCUCAA